rnacentral:rRNA from 1 species
CCUACGGGUGGCAGCAGUGAGGAAUAUUGGUCAAUGGACGAGAGUCUGAACCAGCCAAGUAGCGUGAAGGAUGACUGCCCUAUGGGUUGUAAACUUCUUUUAUAUGGGAAUAAAACGUUCCACGUGUGGGAUUUUGUAUGUACCAUAUGAAUAAGGAUCGGCUAACUCCGUGCCAGCAGCCGCGGUAAUACGGAGGAUCCGAGCGUUAUCCGGAUUUAUUGGGUUUAAAUGGAGCGUAGGUGGAUUGUUAAGUCAGUUGUGAAAGUUUGCGGCUCAACCGUAAAAUUGCAGUUGAAACUGGCAGUCUUGAGUACAGUAGAGGUGGGCGGAAUUCGUGGUGUAGCGGUGAAAUGCUUAGAUAUCACGAAGAACUCCGAUUGCGAAGGCAGUUCACUGGACUGCAACUGACACUGAGGCUCGAAAGUGUGGGUAUCAAACAGGAUUAGAUACCCCUGUAGUC